rnacentral:rRNA from 1 species
UACGUAGGGUGCAAGCGUUAAUCGGAAUUACUGGGCGUAAAGGGUGCGUAGGCGGUUCGUUAAGUCUGUCGUGAAAUCCCCGGGCUCAACCUGGGAAUGGCGAUGGAUACUGGCGAGCUAGAGUGUGUCAGAGGAUGGUGGAAUUCCCGGUGUAGCGGUGAAAUGCGUAGAGAUCGGGAGGAACAUCAGUGGCGAAGGCGGCCAUCUGGGACAACACUGACGCUGAAGCACGAAAGAGUGGGGAGCAAACAGG